GCGUGUGUAGUUCAGCAGAAAGUCAGAGGGCCAAUCCCAAAGUGAGCCCUGAGGACUAAGGACUAAAGAGUCACAGACUUAAUUGAUCUCAGGUGCUAAGUGAGUGAGUGUGUGAGGCCACAUUGGCUCAGAUAGGUAUAAAUGGGAUUGGGACAGC